AGACAGGGCAGAAACAAGACAGUACCUGUAGAAUAAGCUUCGGCUAACUACGUGCUAGCAGCCGCGGUAAUACGUAGGGAGCAAGCGUUAUCCGGAUUUAUUGGGUGUAAAGGGUGCGUAGACGGGUAUAUAAGUUAGUUGUGAGAUCCCUCGGCUCAACUGAGGAACUGCAACUAAAACUGUAAAUCUUGAGUGCGGGAGAGGAAAGUGGAAUUCCUAGUGUAGCGGUGAAAUGCGUAGAUAUUAGGAGGAACACCAGUGGCGAAGGCGACUUUCUGGACCGUAACUGACGUUGAGGCACGAAAGUGUGGGGAGCAAACAG
rnacentral:rRNA from 1 species